UACGAACUGUGCAAACGUUAUUCGGAUUCACUGGGCUUAAAGGGUGCGUAGGCGGCCAUGUAAGUAGGGUGUGAAAUCCCCCGGCUUAACCGGGGAACUGCGCCCUAAACUGUAUGGCUGGAGUGAGAUAGGGGUGUGUGGAACUUCCGGUGGAGCGGUGAAAUGUGUUGAUAUCGGAAGGAACGCCGGUGGCGAAAGCGGCGCACUGGACCAUAACUGACGCUGAGGCGCGAAAGCUAGGGGAGCAAACAGG
rnacentral:rRNA from 1 species